rnacentral:rRNA from 1 species
CCUGAUUCCAUGCCGAACUCAGAAGUGAAACACAACAGCGCCGAUGGUAGUGUGGGGUCUCCCCAUGUGAGAGUAGGACAUCGCCAGGC